AUAUUCCGAUUAUAAAUUAAAAGUCCAGCGAGAAAUGAAGUGUAAGGCGAUUUGAAAACCACGAGAUUGGUGGCGAUCGAAGGUGGACAGCAAGAUCGAAGCUCAGCAAGAUUGAAGAUUGUUCGAAGAAGAAGGAGUUCGCCGUUGACUAAAAGGUUUAUCUGAACAGCUAGUUGUCAAGAUGAAUGCGAAGACUCGCCCGGCCAAAUUCAAAAUGGCGAUGCCAAAGAAAACCAUCCACCUGGACCGUUCGCAGACCUUUCUGGGCAAGAUUGUUGUGCUGUCUGGUCAAAGUUAAGUAUUUUACUUUGAUGUUUGUGUGCCUUCGGCUAAUUGUUGGCCAGAAAUGACAAAAAGCCAUAUACAAUAUGAAAUAUUCUGCGUACAAGGUUAUCUAAAAUUUCGAACUUAAUUCUGCCUGCAAUGAUGAUAAUUUUUUACUGAAAAUUUAUGUCAUGAGCAACUUCCGCACCUAUAGACUGAAGCAGAACUGAACAUUUUGUCAUUAACGUUUAUCUCAACAGCCAGUUAUCAAGACGAACGUCAAGAGAACAGUUGAAAUAG
rnacentral:lncRNA from 1 species